rnacentral:rRNA from 1 species
GAUGAACGCUAGCGGGAGGCCUAACACAUGCAAGCCGAGCGGUAGAGUUUCUUCGGAAACUUGAGAGCGGCGCACGGGUGCGUAACACGUGUGCAACCUACCUUUAUCUGGGGGAUAGCCUUUCGAAAGGAAGAUUAAUACCCCAUAAUAUAAUGAUUGGCAUCAAUUAUUAUUGAAAACUCCGGUGGAUAGAGAUGGGCACGCGCAAGAUUAGAUAGUUGGUGAGGUAACGGCUCACCAAGUCAAUGAUCUUUAGGGGUCCUGAGAGGGAGAUCCCCCACACUAGUACUGAGACACGGACCAGACUCCUACGAGAGGCAGCAGUGAGGAAUAUGGGACAAUGGGUGAGAGCCUGAUACAGCCAGCCCGCGUGAAGGAUGACGGUCCUAUGGAUUGUAAACUUCUUUUGUACAGGGAUAAACCUACCCUCGGGAGGGUAGCUGAAGGUACUGUACGAAUAAGCACCGGCUAACUCCGUG